UGGCCGAUGGAUGAAGUGCUGCUAAUACAGGGUGUCAGUACAGUACCUGAGCUUGAGCAAAAUCUUAAGAGGGGACAAAGAACACGAGAAGAUUGGGGAGCAAACUCACAGUUGCGGUCAAUGGUCACCGCGACCGGCGGCAACAGUAACCGUCACAGCAACCUCGAAGGAAUAGCAACCUCCCAGGCCAAUCUAUUCAGAGAGAAAAAACAAUAUCGAAAGAUAAGAUUUAAUAAUCGAACAAGUCAGCAGAUUAAUAAGAAUGUGUGGAUGUGAAAAAUUUCAGUGGAGCAGAAUAGUAAGAAAGGUGAGACUGAGUUACCAGGUAGCCGGGUCAGUAGAUUCAACGCGUCGCUCUCUGACCGACCAGAAACUCCAUUCUUCUUGCUAUUUCACUGCCACCCUAGAUUUAACCAACACAAAUCAGACUGUAAAGCAGGAGAUCUGACAUUUUAACUCCAAGCAUUGCUAUUUUAACAGGGAGAAAUCGACAGGAUAUAUACCCAAAAUGUGCCCCGUCCACAGGUGUCAAGGGCUGUUCCUUGCAAAACCUUACAAGCAAAUCUUUUCUGAGAACCUUGCUGUUCCACUGCCAGCCCUGGAUUCAAUCAACACAAAUCAGAUCAGACUCUGAAGCAGGAGAUCUGACUUUGUAGCUCCAAGCAAAGCAUUCCUACUUUAACUAGAAAAAAAAUCGACAGGAAAUAUACCCAAAAUAUCCACCGGCCUUCUCCCCUCUCCACAGAUGCCAAGAAGGACCGUGUUCCUCUCAAGAUCUCUAGCAGUGGUGAGCUUGGAGGUCGGAUGAGAUCACCAACAAGGCGGAUCACCAAUGGAGGAGAGGACCGAGAUGGUAGGAAGGGAGCACUCAGUGG
rnacentral:lncRNA from 1 species